rnacentral:pre_miRNA from 1 species
GCGUGUGUGGAUGGUGUUCAGCACCAAGGACGAGAGUAUUUGUGUGUGGAUGGUGUUCAGCACUAAGGGCAAGAGUGUUUGCGU